UCCUAGUUGACGAGUCUCAAAUAGAACGAAACACUCGUCCUUGAU
rnacentral:hammerhead_ribozyme from 1 species